UACAGAGGGGGCAAGCGUUAUUCGGAAUUAUUGGGCGUAAAGGGCGCGUAGGCGGCCUGGCAAGUGGAAGGUGAAAUCCCUCGGCUUAACCGAGGAACUGCCCUCCAAACUGCUUGGCUUGAGACCGGGAGAGGUGAGUGGAAUUCCCAGUGUAGCGGUGAAAUGCGUAGAUAUUGGGAGGAACACCAGUGGCGAAGGCGGCUCACUGGACCGGUACUGACGCUGAGGUGCGAAAGCGUGGGGAGCAAACAGG
rnacentral:rRNA from 1 species